GAUGAAGAACGUAGCGAAAUGCGAUAAGUAAUGUGAAUUGCAGAAUUCAGUGAAUCAUCGAAUCUUUGAACGCACAUUGCGCCCGCCAGUAUUCUGGCGGGCAUGCCUGUCCGAGCGUCAUUUCAACCCUCGAACCCCUCCGGGGGGUCGGCGUUGGGGAUCGGCCCUGCCUCUUGGCGGUGGCCGUCUCCGAAAUACAGUGGCGGUCUCGCCGCAGCCUCUCCUGCGCAGUAGUUUGCACACUCGCAUCGGGAGCGCGGCGCGUCCACAGCCGUUAAACACCCAACUUCUGAAAUGUUGACCUCGGAUCAGGUAGGAAUACCCGCUGAACUUAAGCAUAUAAAUAAGCGGAGGA
rnacentral:misc_RNA from 1 species